UGGUGGGUAGUUUGACUGGGGCGGUCUCCUCCCAAAGCGUAACGGAGGAGCACGAAGGUUAGCUAAUCCUGGUCGGACAUCAGGAGGUUAGUGCAAUGGCAUAAGCUAGCUUGACUGCGAGCGUGACGGCGCGAGCAGGUGCGAAAGCAGGUCAUAGUGAUCCGGUGGUUCUGAAUGGAAGGGCCAUCGCUCAACGGAUAAAAGGUACUCCGGGGAUAACAGGCUGAUACCGCCCAAGAGUUCAUAUCGACGGCGGUGUUUGGCACCUCGAUGUCGGCUCAUCACAUCCUGGGGCUGAAGUAGGUCCCAAGGGUAUGGCUGUUCGCCAUUUAAAGUGGUACGCGAGCUGGGUUUAGAACGUCGUGAGACAGUUCGGUCCCUAUCUGCCGUGGGCGCUGGAGAAUUGAGGGGGGCUGCUCCUAGUACGAGAGGACCGGA
rnacentral:rRNA from 1 species